UGAGAUCUUUCAAUGACCGUGUUCAUGCUG
rnacentral:piRNA from 1 species